AGUGAACGCUGGCGGUAGGCCUAACACAUGCAAGUCGAACGGCAGCACAGAGGAGCUUGCUCCUUGGGUGGCGAGUGGCGGACGGGUGAGGAAUACAUCGGAAUCUACUCUGUCGUGGGGGAUAACGUAGGGAAACUUACGCUAAUACCGCAUACGACCUACGGGGGAAAGCAGGGGACCUUCGGCCCUUGCGCGACUGAAUGACCCGAUGUCGGAUUAGCUAGUUGGCGGGGUAAAGGCCCACCAAGGCGACGAUCCGUAGCUGGUCUGAGAGGAUGAUCAGCCACACUGGAACUGAGACACGGUCCAGACUCCUACGGGAGGCAGCAGUGGGGAAUAUUGGACAAUGGGCGCAAGCCUGAUCCAGCCAUACCGCGUGGGUGAAGUAGGCCUUCGGGUUGUAAAGCCCUUUUGUUGGGAAAGAAAUCCAGCUGGCUAAUACCCGGUUGGGAUGACGGUACCCAAAGAAUAAGCACCGGCUAACUUCGUGCCAGCCGCCGCCGUAA
rnacentral:rRNA from 1 species